rnacentral:rRNA from 1 species
UACGUAGGGUGCGAGCGUUAAUCGGAAUUACUGGGCGUAAAGCGUGCGCAGGCGGUUCGUUGUGUCCGUCGUGAAAGCCCCGGGCUUAACCUGGGAACUGCGAUGGAAACUAGCGAGCUGGAGUGUGGCAGAGGGGGGUGGAAUUCCUGGUGUAGCGGUGGAAUGCGCAGAUAUCAGGAGGAACACCAAUAGCGAAGGCAGCUCGCUGGGACGGUAUUGACGCUGAGGCGCGAAAGCGUGGGGAGCAAACAGG